GACGAACGCUGGCGGCGUGCCUAAUACAUGCAAGUAGAACGCACAGUUUAUACCGUAGCUUGCUACACCAUAGACUGUGAGUUGCGAACGGGUGAGUAACGCGUAGGUAACCUGCCUGGUAGCGGGGGAUAACUAUUGGUAACGAUAGCUAAUACCGCAUAAUAUUUAUUAUUUCAUGAUAAUUAAUUGAAAGGUGCAAUUGCACCACUACCAGAUGGACCUUCGUUGUAUUAGCUAGUAGGUGAGGUAACGGCUCACCUCGGCGACGAUACAUAGCCGACCUGAGAGGGUGAUCGGCCACACUGGGACGGAGACAAGGCCCAGACUCCUACGGGAGGCAGCAGUAGGGAAUCUUCGGCAAUGGACGAAAGUCUGACCGAGCAACGCCGCGUGAGGGAAGAAGGUUUUCGGAUCGGAAAGAUCUGUUGUAAGAGAAGAACGGGUGUGAGAGUGGAAAGUUCAAACUGUGACGGUAUCUUACCAGAAAGGGACGGCUAACUACGUG
rnacentral:rRNA from 1 species